rnacentral:rRNA from 1 species
CCCUUAGAUGUCCUGGGCCGCACGCGCGCUACACUGACAUGUUCAACAAGCCUCCUAGUUCGACAGGAUUUGGGAAAUCUUUGAACGCAUGUCGUGAUAGGGAUAGAUCAUUGCAAUUAUUGAUCUUGAACGAGGAAUUCCUAGUAAACGCGAGUCAUCAGCUCGCAUUGAUUACGUCCCUGCCCUUUGUACACACCGCCCGUCGCACCUACCGAUUGAAUGUUUCGGUGAAGAUUCCGGAUAGGACUUUUUUGAUUUAUUUCGAUUCUGUCUUAAAAGCUAUCUAAACCUCAACAUUUAGAGGAAGGUGAAGUCGUAACA